UUAUGGAGAGUUUGAUCCUGGCUCAGGAUGAACGCUGGCGGCGUGCCUAAUACAUGCAAGUCGAGCGAACAGACGAGGAGCUUGCUCCUCUGACGUUAGCGGCGGACGGGUGAGUAACACGUGGGUAACCUACCUAUAAGACUGGGAUAACUCCGGGAAACCGGGGCUAAUACCGGAUAACACAUGAAACCGCAUGGUUUCAUGAUGAAAGACGGUUUUGCUGUCACUUAUAGAUGGACC
rnacentral:rRNA from 1 species